rnacentral:tRNA from 1 species
GUCGGUAUAGCUUGGUGGUAGAGUGCAUGCUUAGCAUGCACAAGGUCCUGGGUUCAAUUCCCAGUACCUCCA